UAUUUAAGUUGUUGUGCCAACUGAAAUAAAUGAGUCUGCGGGCUGCUCACCUCUGGCCUGCUUUCACCCGACUCCCAGGGACUAUGUGGUGACUCCAUGCCUCUUGCUCCCACCACGCUCCUCCUCUCAGAAUGAAUCCACAACUUCUGGCACCCAAUGUGACUGAGAGACAGUGUGUCAGACUUGAGAAUGCGGGACAGCCCAUUUGGGUACUAGCCAGAAACAUCAAGCCUGCAACUGACAGUCAACCAGAACCAGCUGGUCAAGACUGAGAGUCCGCCUUGUUAGCAGAUGCACCUGCUCCCAAUUGUCAAGCUGCUGCCCUAGCAAUCUGCCCUGAGGAACUGCCCACAGUCACAUCUGCUACUGUCUUUUACCCCACUAGCUCUGGUCAGCCAUUUGAACAGCCAACAGCCUGCGUGUAGUCAUGCCAUUCCUGAUUACCAUUGUCCCUCAUUCCUACCCCCAUCUGAGCAAGCACUCCUGUGGUCUCCCAUUUCGAGGGCUGGUUAGUCAAUGAUGGGUAAGAUCCCCAGAGGAGAACCUAAGACAGGCACAGCUGCAUACGAAGACCACGUAGAAACGGGGUCAGCAAUGUAAUGGCCAAGGAUCAUGCCUCCCGGUGCUCAAAAAUAAAUGAAAAGGGGGAAAUGU